UUAAAUGUUACACAUUUAUUGAUUACUUAUAUCGAUUAUUUUUUAUAAUAUUAAUCCAACUAUGUUGUGAAUCUAACAUCUAUAUUUCUAUAAAAUGUGUUAUUAUUAGAAAUAUCGGAAAAUAUAAUAUCUCAUUGUUUAUGCGAUGAACCCUUCAAUUCUCGACCACCAUGAAGAUUUAAGGUCAACGUAAUUCAACGCGGAUUUUAAUUGUUCUAAUGUGAAUUUCUUUUGCCGGUUGUUUCGCAUUAUCGACUUUCGGUUAAGUCGGUCAAGCAUUGUACGAGGAUCCAAGUACCUAUAUGUGUUUCUGCUAAGCUAUGCAUCGUUCACACUUUCACUCUACUUAUUCACUGUCUGCCUAUCAUCACAGCGUUAGUCAAUGAAAAUGAUGUGACUAAGCAAUUUAGGAAAUUCAAAAUCUUGUUAUAUUACAUAAUAUAUAUAUUUGCGUUUUGAGUAAUAGACGUUUUCACUUCGUCACUUUAUCGAUACAAAAUGUACAAUAUCAUGUAGAGUAACUCACGAAAGUAUCUGAACACUUAUCAUAAAAUAAUGUAUAUGAAUACAUUAUGUAUUUUAUACGAAAUUUUUAAAAUAUUAUUUUACCAUUAUAACAUGUCGCAAGUAUCAAACAGUAAAAUUUAAUUAAUAAAAUGAAACAUUGGAGAUGCACAUAGGAGUUACAACAUGUUUAUUGCAAACAUACCUUUGAUAAAAAAUUAAUAUACUAUAUUACUAUUAUUAUACUGUAAAAUUAUUUAAACCUUCGUCUUUUAUAUGAACAGAAGUUCGAAACACUGCAGUUAAAAUACUUAUGAAUCGUUGGAAAAUUGAAACUUCUAAGAACAAAUUAAGAAAAGAAAGAUCUUAACACUGAAUGUAAUAUAGAAUAGCGUAAGCUCCUUCCACUGAAUGUUGAAAAAAAAAUAUCAUGUACUUAAAUCGUUGUGUCGAGAAAAUUGCUUAAGGAUUUCUGAAAAUUCUAUUUCCACAAACAGAUUAAAAAGAAAAGAAUCUCAACAAAAAAUAUGAUAACGAAACGCACCUUGAUAAUUCUACUUCAUUGAAUGAUUUAAUAUAUCACUGAUAAGAAAAAAAAUUGAUUAACGACUGGAACAUCACAAUGCAAGCUUGUAUUAUUCUUAUUGAAAAAAGCAAUUUCAUACGGGUCGAAAUUAAGAUCUCUGUUUCGAUCGUCAUUCAACACGCGUGCACGCGUUCGUCUACUUAUUUAGUUAGAUGUGCCAGCUAAAAUUAAAUUCUAAACAUAACUAAAAGCGCAUUUCUCAGUCGCAUUUUGCUUUGUUCGAACAACGACUUGCACCUGAUAAUAUGACAUACAUAUACGGCUUUGCGACAUUAUGUAGUAAUUAUUACUAAUUAAUAGUAUAGUAAAAAUUACAAUUAACGUAUAUCGAAAUCAUAAUUGUCAUGUCUUAGUGAAGAUUUUUGAAAUAGAUUGCACCCGUGUCUUAAUGCGAUAUACUUAGGAUCUAUUAGAACAUAUUGAAUAGACAACAAUGAAGCCUAACGCACUUCGACGCGCAUACUACCUAUAACAUUGGCAUGAAUCAACUGCGUAGUACACAUCAUUCAACACGGAACAUAUCUUUAUGUAUCAAAGAAACGCUCGUGCAUAUGUUUGACCUGGUUAUGAAAAAUGCAUGAGACCUCUCUCUCCUAAAUAUGGUACGUAAUAUGGUCGAAGAACUCGCAUAAGUCACGAUACAAGAAAGAGGACGGUUGCCUCUUUGUCUCAAGGUAGCUGCAACGUGAGAAUAGGCACGUAUUACAUAUAGCUAUGCUCUUCGAAUUUCUUUUUCAAAUUUCUCUACCCGAGGCGCUCAGAAGCUUGGAACACGUUGUGAAUGGCACAUAACACACGGUACGAAGAAGAAGAGUAUUUGAACGAUCGAAGGAGACGAGCAAACUGAAUCAAGAUCAGAGUUCCACUUCUGUAACCUAGUCGAGGUCGAAGUCUUAUUAUAAAAUCUGCACUUUGCGGAAGUUUCAAAUCCUAAGACCUGAAACGAAAUAAUCGAUGAAGUAUCAAAUUAAGCCGACUGAUGUAAUUUUUUAGAAGUUAAGCGAAGAACUCCAACUAGAGGAAAUUUCCGUAGGUGGAACGUGGCAUUCGAACUGAGAUAAAAGAACAGGCCACACCGGACUGACUUAAUGAGGCAUGGAGGGGCAUUGCGAAAUAUCGUAUUUUGCAAUAUGUUUAGCGUUUCUAUCUUGCAUUCGGAAAGAUAUCGGUUAAUGGAAUUAUAUGACGAGAUGCAGAUCGUUGCAGAUACGCGCGCGCGCAUUAUUGUCAUAAUAGAGAGAGAGAGAGAGAGAGAGAGAGAGAGGGAGAGGGGGAGGAAACACGACACUCAAAUCUCGUCUCUCAAAAAUGAUUAAAAACUUCAUCAGUAAAUUAAAUCUAUAAAAUCUGCAAACACACACAUUUUUGAGAUUAUCAUCGCUGACAUUGAAAAUGAUUAAUAUUCUAUCUACUAAUAAAAUUUGGCAAUGAAUAUUUUUCGAAAGUAAUGUAAUCGCAGGCCACUCUCAUUGUAGUUAUCCAGGUCUUGUUCGCUACAAUUGUUCUUGGUCAUUUCUAUACCGUGAUUUAAAGGGGAGCCAAGCACUGAUCGAUAAAAGGAUUCUUCGUAAAAGAUGUUUGACUCAUCCGGGAAUCGAACUUUGCACCCUGCUUCAGAACAUUCGAAUGCUGGUUACUAGUCGAAGAAACAUCGUCACGGAAAUUGGACAAAAUAGAAAAUAAAUAAUGAUUCGGUAGAAGACUGAAAUUUCACGAAAUCUAAUUUUAGCCAGUUAAACACGUUUCGUUGGCAUAUUAAUAGCGUAUUGUACUUUAUUGUUCGAUAAAAAACGCACAAUACGGUGCACCAUGCGUGUAAACUCGAUAAGAGGAACAAAUAGAAAUAGAAGAAGAAUUACCAGUUCUGCCUGGCGUAAUCAGCACGUGCACAUUUUCACAGCUCAUAACAGAUCGAUUGAAACUGAACCGUUGGAAAAUCGAUCAUAGAACGUUCCGAAAAGAGAACGCAGGAAAAGAGAAAGAGACAGAGAAUGAAAUCCAGAGUUAUUUACGCUGCUCAUUAACUUACCAACGCGAAUGACAACGACGUACUGAGUUCAAUGAAAAUUCUCAAAUCGAGUUACACGCGAGCAAACAACAUGAAAAUAUGGCGAGAAUAGCAACGACGAUAAGAAGGCUGCAGGGGUCAUUCGCGUGACGAUGAUAGAUUAGAAGGAAAAGUACACAGAGAAAUUUGAUAUAAUCAAGAAUCAAUUAAACUGAAAUAUCCUUUAUAGUCUCAUGAAUGAAAGAGAAAAUAUAAAUUUUCUGGAAAAAUGGAUUUUUAUUCUAUGAGAGAGGAUGAUGAUAUAAAUUUAAUACAACCAAUGACAGACCGUAUGCGUGUCUUAGAAAGAAAUUUGCCAAAAUAUGUUGGGAAGAAAUCGGCCAAUUAAAAAGAUAACCUUGUAUAUAAAAAUGAAAUAAUGGAAACAAUAGAAAAAAAAUAAAUAACUGGAAAUUAACAUUUAUAGAUUUAAAGCAAAGAUGAUCCCUUAAUUUCAGAAACAAUAAUAUAGAAAAAGAAGAUAAAUAAAUAAAGAUUAAUAUGGAAUUAAAGUAUAAAAUAAUCUUGAAUAUCUCUAUAAUAAAACUCGAAUUUGAAAUAAGAUGGAUACUUCUUAAUCCACGGAACCAAAUAACUCGGGACAGAUAAAAAACGAUAAAGAAGCCUUUUAAUCUUGAAAUAUAUUAGCUCCUUGCUAAUGAUUAAAAACACAAGUCUUUAUGACAGAAUAGGAAAUAUACUGUUAUCAGUAAGAUGUUUUGACAGUCAUUAUCUAUGUAAGUCUCAACAGCAUGGAUGAAGGAAGUGUAUAGAAAAAUAUCACACGCGAUUCUCUUGAGUAAUUUUGGUCAAACGAUCAUCAAAACAUAAACUGUAAUUGUUCAAAUGUGAAAAACUAUGGUACAACAGCGAAAAUGUAGAAGUUUACUUUUUCAAGACCCUAAAAGCACUCACGAUCAUGAUGGAAAUAUAUAAAGUUGAACCAGUUAUUUUCGCGUAGUAUGAUCAAGCCGCCUCUGAUAGUGCGUAGGCUGUUGGUACGGCCUUGGCGAUCUUGUAAAUACCGUAAAAUUUUGUGCUUUAGGGUCGGGUGGCUCGUCUGAGAUAAUAAUAAGUGGACUGCAGAUGUUCAUGCAAAUUCAUAUUUCUAUGAAUACAUAUAAUUAAAAAGAAUAAAAACUAAAUACACAUUCAUUUCAUCAGUUACAUGUUGUAACUAUCUUAAAUAUUUUAUAUAUUUUUACAAAUUUUUAUCAUGUGCAUUUUUACACCUUUAUGUUUCCCAUAAAUGAAUAAACUUCCUCAGUAUAAUAAAGCACUUCAUUUAUUAUAAAAUAUUAUCGAUUAUAGGAUAGUGAAUUCGACAUAUGUUUCAUGGGCAUAUUGCGUAUGCAUUUAAUGAUACACUGCCCAAAAUAAUUGGACAAUAAUUUCGUCUAUUGAAAAUAAUUAAAUUUCUUAUAAC